rnacentral:rRNA from 1 species
CGUCGACCGGCGCACGGGUGAGUAACGCGUAUCCAACCUGCCCACCACUUGGGAUAACCUUGCGAAAGUAAGACUAAUACCCAAUGAUAUCUCUAGAAGACAUCUGAAAGAGAUUAAAGAUUUAUCGGUGAUGGAUGGGGAUGCGUCUGAUUAGCUUGUUGGCGGGGUAACGGCCCACCAAGGCAACGAUCAGUAGGGGUUCUGAGAGGAAGGUCCCCCACAUUGGAACUGAGACACGGUCCAA